AUCAAGCCUAAGUGCUUGAGUGUAGAAUUUAAAGUAUAAUAUAAAAUAAGUUGGGAUUUAGUUUAAGUGUUUAAUAUGUAGGGGUUGAAAAUGUUUGAUUACGGGAUUUAUUACGUAGUAAGUCGACUUGGUUAAAUAGGAUAUUAAGAAGGCAAGAAUAAAAAUGGAUGGAUUUAGAGCCAAGUCAAGCGUAAACGCUUGAAUAGAAAAGCGAAAGUUUGUAAAAGUGAAAUAGUUUUAUGAGUUAAAAUGUUAAUUUAGCACUUGUUCGUAUUAUAGAUUCUACGCUUUAUCGGAUUGGAGAAUUAGAGGAAUUGGAGUUAAGCAACGGGCUAUAUUAUAUUUUGCAUUUGGAAAAUUUGGAUUAAGCGAUCGAGUGUUUUCUUUCAGGAUUAACAUAUGACGAUGUGGUCGAGCUUCCAUUCGUUGUUCCGGAAGUCUCAGUUAUGGGAGGUCUUAUUCUUCUUAGAGCUGCAGUAGUCAUGAUAGUAGACCUAGCUAGUAGCAGACGAUUUAUGUUUAUAUUAUGACCUGCUAAAAUGAUGUAUUUUGGAAAAAUGAAUUAUCCAGGGAUUUAAUAUAUGGUUAAUUGGUAUUUUAUA